UUGAGCCGACUGAGCCGCCCAGGCGCCCCAAGGUACUUUCUUCUUUAUGCUUUUCUGAGAUGUUUCAUUUUGUACAAGAAAUGUGGGUUAUGUUUUUAAUCUAGAAAAGGCACUUACGGAACCAGGGGGUCCAGCUUGGGGCACGUACCUGUCUCCAUGCAGGCUCCACGUGGGGGGGGCGCUGGGCUGCUCCCUGGGGCACAUAGUAGCCCCUCCCCAGCCAGACCCAGACCCCUUGUUCAAAAGGUGGCCCAGCCCCCGUCCCCCACCCCAGGCUGGGUCCUUGCAGUCCUUCAGCUCCCCAAGGGGGCCGCAUAGACCUCACCCCUGUGGUGGUAAAUCUGGACACCCCCUGCCAAGGAAACAUGGAGCCCCGGAGAGGAAACUGUUCCCUCCCCCACAGUCCCCACCGGCCCCGCAAGGAGGCUGCCGUCUUUCGGAUGUCCCGCGGGGAGCCGUAGCCGCAGGAGGUCAAGGGGUCCUGGCCCCUCGGGAGGGCCCGAUGGCUGCACCGAGCCUGCGGUUCGGAUGUCCCCCUGGACCGUGGGCGGGCUGAGCUAGGGCCAGGCUGCGUGUCCUCCUUGGCUUGCCAGCCGGGAAGGCGGACCACACGAGCACCUGCGUGUGGGCUGUCGCGAGCUCAGCGGGUGCGCGCAAACCCUCUGGAAUCGAUCGGGUGGAAGACACGUAGUUCUCGGCGCUCCCCGGCCCGGCCUGCACCGGACGAUGCAGAUUCGCUCUGGACAAAACAGGAGGGGCCUAUUCCGUGAGCGCCAGAGUGGUCCGGAGAGGUAUUUAACGGGGGUGCUUUUAAAUCAUUGGAAGUACUGUGUGGAAAGAAGCAGGUGCCGAGGAAGAGACAGUCGUGGGGACAGAGAGGCUGGGACAGGCUCUGUAAGGAGACAGCUGACUCCAGUGAGGCCAGGAACAGACUAGACACAGGGAACAGCAGAUGCAAAGGCUCUGCGGCAGGAGUGAACUUGGCAUGUUCUUGUGACUGGACGGGCGACAAUGGGACCAGUGGCGGGAAAGGGGCCAAAAUGGUAGGGCCGGGCCACCGCGAGGGGCGUGAUCUGACAGUGAGAGUGACCAGAAGGGGGGUGCUGGGGGUCUGAGCACGGUGGGGACCUCUGGGUCUGUGUCUUGAGGACAUAGGGGCCACUACAGCCUGAAUGGCCAGCUCUGUCCUCCACAGGCACAGAGCUCGGGUGUCUCCGGGUCGCAGCCUGUGGAGGAGGUGACAGUGCCCUGGGGGGUAUGAUUAUGGCCCACGUCCCGUGAGCUCUGGCUGUUAGGGCUCAUGCCUUCUUGCCCCACGCAGGGCUGGUUGUCUGCACAAUCCCUGGGCUUCGUUCUGGGACCUGCCAUGCCUUAGGCCGGGGCCGGGCUCUGGGUGGACAUUGGCAUCGGAGGCCGGGUCCCAGGCCCCCCCCCCCGACCCGAAUCUGCCCCGUGUGAACCCUGGCCUUUCCACCCUCUCUGGAGAUCCCUGGCCAUGCCUUGCCCAGUCCACAGCUGUGGCUUCUCUAUGCGGAUCCCCCGAGAACCUCUCCAAGCCCCCCAGACUCCUUCCCCACCACCCCCAUCUGCCUCGCCCCUUCCUUCAGCCUCUUUUGACACCCUUGUGGUUCACACCUCAGCCAUGGGCUGUACCCAGCUCCUGCUGGCCAGAGGCCCCCAAAGAUCUGGGGUUCCCCAAGCAGCUUCCUCGAUCUCAGUGUCCCGAGGGCGCAGGGUCCCGUGUGGGAGUCAGCGUCUGGCACACAAGGGGGACACAGCCUUGUGGGUGGGUGGGUGCUUGGUUACAGCCCAGCAUCAGGCUGGGACCCCUGUGACACCCUCCCACCUGGGUGGCCUCACCUGGCGGCUGCCGGGGGCUCCGAUGGGAAAGGAGGUGUCCAGAGAGGUGGCCUGUCCGCCUUCCCCCUCCCCUUUGCCCCAUGCUCCCGGCAUGAGUCCCCAGGAGCAGCAAGUGUGGGGACAUCUGGGUACACUCUGCAGAGGUCAGGCCAGCACCAAAGAGAAGGCUGAGGAUUAGUGGCGGCUGGGAGCCAUGGCAACAGGACAACGGCCCAGUGGUCUCCCCAGGGACGGCCCCCAGACCCCUUGAGUAGGGACCCCCAUCCUAGCGGCGAGCUCUGCCGUGGCCUGCGCCCUUCCCCUUUCUAGAGGCUGAGGCCUGUCCCCCUGCCCAGGACACGAGCGCACCUCUCUGAUCAUCCCAGCCACUCCGGCCCCCACCGGUGCUGAGGCUCCUAGUGAUUAUUCAAAAGCCACGGAGGCUGACUCCGGUUCACCUGGAAACACCCCGGAGGCCCCCAUCUGUGUCCCCAGAAAAGUCCCCAAGCCGGGGCAGGCCCUGGGGAGGUUGAUGUGAGGCAUUCACUGUCCUCGGGCCAAGCUGGCCCCCCUCUACUCGUUGAGGCCACGCUGUGUCCACCCCCCAAUCUUUUUCCUAGCUGUAUCCCUGCCCAGCACAGCCCGUCUCCUUUUCUCCAGGUAAUUAGCCUGUCUGUUCCAGUGCCCCUUCCUCCAGGAAGCCCUCCUGGCUGCUGCACACUGGUUCUUCGCCACUCUGCCACCUGGUGGUCCCAGACCGCAUCCCCUCGGUGAUGUUUGUCCUGGUUACAGAGGUUGUGAGCGUUGGUGACGGAUUGUCUCUGCCCCCCACCCGGCGGACGCGGCUGUGGGCUCACGGGAGGCCCUGGGCUUUCUGCAGGGGCCUGAGGUUGGGCCCUUCCUGGCCGUGGCCUCGGGCUUCAGUGGGCACUCUGUGGCGAUGCACCCUCAGUGCAGCUUCCCGGGCUGCCCCAGCCCUCAGAAUGGCAGGCUUCACCCCGUGGGCGCUAAUCGGGCAUGACGCUGUCGUGGGUGUAGAGCGGGGAGCAGAGACCCGGCCCCGGGUGAAGGGCCACCAGCCCGGUCAGCACAGAGGAAGAGAAAGAUGAGGUACUGGGGUGACUUGGCACCCUGCGCUGCAGAGAAGCCCCCUGCACCCCCAGGGCAUUUCCGGGACCCCCCCGGCCCCCCCUCCCCACCAAGACAGCUCUUCCCUCAGGAGGCGGCUGCGUUUACGGGUGAGGCCCCAGGCCCGCCCCAGGCACCCCGGAGGCAAGAUGGUCGGAGCCCCUGGGCCAGACUCCCCAGACGCAGGGCACAUGCCAGGGCCUGUGAAUGAAGAGAGAGGGGCCAGACACCAGGUGGGGAUCUGUCUGCACCCGGCGUGGCCCACCUGGGACCCUCCUCGCCUUAGAUGCUGGGUCCCCAGAUGAUGAGCUCCGGGGAGGAGCCUCUCAGGGUGACCCAGCGGCCCCACUCCUGCCAAAGACUCCCCAGAAGGCCGGACUGGUCCCCGCCCCGCCUCCCCCCACCAAGCUGGGCAGGGUGGCCGGGCCAAGGCUUCCCUGGGAUGUGGGCUCAGCCCGGGCAGGGUGGGGCAGGCGGCUAAGGCCCAUCUUGCGGAUGAUGUGGCCGUUCCGGGGCCACCUGUGUGCAUGACACAAGGUCCUGGGGCAGGGCCGGGCCUGGCGCCGGGCUGUGUGGCAUUAGGUACAGCCGUGGGCGCUGACUUGGCGGCGGGGAGGGAAGGCGGCCACGAGAGGGAGGAGGAAGGCGGUGAGCUUCCAAAAUUAGCCACGACACGAAGCGGGGUUUAUCACGGCCCCGCUCACCGACGGGUCUGUGGGGACAAGCGGCCAAACACGGCUGUCCUGGGCACAGACAAUGAACAGAGACGUUCCCCCUUUUCCUGAGGGCACCUGGGUACCGGGCAGAGCCAGCGCCCAGCCCUGCCCGGUGGCAAAGGCCGCAGCCUUCUCUGCAGACGGGCCAAGGGGGUGCAGGGAGCUGGAGCGCGGGUGACCAGGCAACGAGGAGGGGGACAGACAGCACACCCCAUCUGGGGAAGAGGCCAAGGGGUGCCACGGCUCCAGAACAUCGCGCGCGGCAGGGCGAGCGGUGGCUCUUCCCCGCAACAUAGAGCAGCCUGCACUAGGGUCAGGGGGGGUCUUAAGGCCCCCGGAGUGGGUUGGUGGGUUUGGGCUAGUGUCCCCCACCACCACCCUGAGCCCCCAGGCUCCGGGAACAGGAAAUGCCCCGAGGAGACGGCUGGAGGGCAAGGUCAGGCAGCCGGUCGCCAGGGUAUGGGCUGGGGGGCGGCCGGCUGGGGACUGCGUUCAGCCACACACGGUAAGAGAGCUCUGACGAAACAACCGGCCCAGACCGCAGCCUCGUGCACGCCGGGUCCCUCCCCCCACAGCCAACGGGAACAGGUGCAGGCCGGCCACGCGGUAACGACAGAGCCACGGGUGUGUGCCGCCCACGGAGGACACGGGGGCUGGCCAGGUGAUGCCACUCACCAGUGAGUGCUCGCAAUUAGGGUCGUUAACUCCUCCUUGUUCAGCAACAUUAAGUAACCGAGUAAAGACCCCACUCCCGGACGGCGGCUUUGAUCGAAUCCCGGCGAGAAGUCAACCCUGUGUCUGGGACAGGCAGGAUGGCCGGCCGGCGUCUGGAGUGGGGACGACCCACCCCUUCUCUGCGAGGGGCUGCGGUUGGUCUCCGUCCCCACUCAGAGCCCCUUGGGGGAGAAGUGGGAGCGACGCCUCCCCCUGCAGUGGCCUCGGUCCCUACCCUGUCCUUGAGGACACCCGUGGAGCCUCCCGGAGGCAGCGGUGACAUAAUCAGCCUGGCACACAGCCGGAAUGACCUGGUGGCACUUGGAGGGGCAGCGAUGAGCUGGCAGGGGCGGAGAGCGAGGGAGGCACAGAGUGCGAAGC